rnacentral:rRNA from 1 species
GAUCAUGGCUCAGGAUGAACGCUGGCGGCGUGCCUAACACAUGCAAGUCGAACGAAGCGCCUUUUGAGAUUCUUCGGAUGAUUGAUUGGUGACUGAGUGGCGGACGGGUGAGUAACGCGUGGGUAACCUGCCCUGUACAGGGGGAUAACAGCUGGAAACGGCUGCUAAUACCGCAUAAGCGCACGAGGAGACAUCUCCUAGUGUGAAAAACUCCGGUGGUACAGGAUGGGCCCGCGU